rnacentral:rRNA from 1 species
GAGUUUGAUCCUGGCUCAGAACGAACGCUGGCGGCGUGCCUAACACAUGCAAGUCGAACGAGAACGGUUCCUUCGGGGACUUAUUAAAGUGGCGGACGGGUGAGUAACACGUGAAUAACGUACCCUCGAGCGGGGGACAACCAUUGGAAACGAUGGCUAAUACCGCAUAAGACCACGCUCCCUUCGGGGAGAGGGGUCAAAGCCUUCGGGCACUCGAGGAUCGGUUCGCGGCCCAUUAGUUAGUUGGUGAGGUAAUGGCUCACCAAGACCGAGAUGGGUAGCUGGUCUGAGAGGAUGAUCAGCCACACUGGGACUGAGACACGGCCCAGACUCCUACGGGAGGCAGCAGUGGGGAAUCUUGCGCAAUGGGCGAAAGCCUGACGCAGCAACGCCGCGUGUGUGAUGAAGGCCUGUGGGUCGUAAAGCACUGUCAGGAGGGAAGAAGAUCUGACGUGUACCUCCAAAGGAAGCACCGGCUAACUCCGUGCCAGCAGCCGCGGUAAUAAGGGCGA